CAGCCACAGAGGAUAUCUGAGAGGCACAGUGAGACUCUGGGAGAGUUUGAGAGCCAGAGCUCUCCCCAGGAGGCAGCAGGCCUGAGGCCAGCCACUCAGUGUGGGAAGGGGCAAGGGAAACUGGCUAUUUCCCCAUUGCUGACAGGCUGUGUAGGGAGGAGGAUAUUCCUGUACUGAGCCCAAAGUCACCAAGAUGCUUAAUGCCAAAGUGUUUCAGGAAAAGCCCUGAAGGCAUAAUGGGAUAAUCACAAAACAGCAGAACAUUUUGAACACUGGCCAAGAAGAGGCAAAAGCGGCAGCCAGCUGACUACAGCUGGGAAUGGGCAGCUAUUUUUAACAGCACAGAAUGCAGUAGAGAUCAAGCAGAACUUUCCAGCUCAGCUUCAGGACAUCUGUCAGCUUCCAGUCUCACCCCUAGGAACCCUGGGACUACCAUGCUGUGAAGAAGCUUGGGAAAAAAAGACCAGACCAAGGGUUUAAGCAUAAUCUUCACAGUGGGAAGGUACUGAAGACAAAGCAAAGGAAGUCUAACGUGACUGAUAAUCUAGUACCUACUUUGCAAGGACCUCGUGAAGAUCAAAUGACAGGAUGUGGUCACUAUAAGCAAUUGGCAAAUAUGUGCUUGAUAAAUGGUAGCUAUGUUAUCUAUUUGUGGCUUUACCGUAGGACUUAACACAGCUCCAUAUAUCUGUUUUAAAUUGAAUUGUACACACAAUCAUAUUUUUUUCUUUAGCCUACAAUUGCUUGAAAACAGUAACUGCAUUUUAUUUUUGUGUGUAUACCAGUCUAUAACAGGCAGUUCCCAUUAGGCACUAUACAAAUAUUUGUUAAACAAAUGAGUCAAUGAAUGGAAUAAGACAUACUUGCUGAAUUGCAUAAGAAGAG